rnacentral:rRNA from 1 species
GACGAACGCUGGCGGCGUGCUUAACACAUGCAAGUCGAACGGUAAGGCCCUUCGGGGUACACGAGUGGCGAACGGGUGAGUAACACGUGGGUGAUCUGCCCUGCACUUCGGGAUAAGCCUGGGAAACUGGGUCUAAUACCGGAUAGGACCACUGCCUGCAUGGGUGGUGGUGGAAAGCUUUUGCGGUGUGGGAUGGGCCCGCGGCCUAUCAGCUUGUUGGUGGGGUGAUGGCCUACCAAGGCGACGACGGGUAGCCGGCCUGAGAGGGUGACCGGCCACACUGGGACUGAGACACGGCCCAGACUCCUACGGGAGGCAGCAGUGGAGAAUAUUGCACAAUGGGCGCAAGCCUGAUGCAGCAACGCCGCGUGAGGGAUGACGGCCUUCGGGUUGUAAACCUCUUUUAGUAGGGAAGAAGCGAAAGUGACGGUACCUGCAGAAAAAGCACCGGCUAACUACGUGCCAGCCGCCGCAGUAA